GACGAACGCUGUCGGCGUGCUUAACACAUGCAAGUCUAACGUCAAUUCUCUGCUUUUGUGGUGUGCUCGAGUGGCGACCGGGUGAGUAACCCGUGAGUCACCUUCCCUUGCCUUUGGGAUAACUUCACGAAACUGGGGCUAAUUCCGUUUAUCAGCUCCUGCUGCAUGGUGGGGGUUGGCCAUUUCCGGCGGUUGGGGAUGGACUCGCGGCUGCUCAGCUUGUUGGUGGGGUAGUGGCUUACCAAGGCUUUGACGGGUAGCUGGCCUGAGAGGGUGACCGACCACAUUGGGACUGAGAUACGGCACAGACUCGUACGGGAGGCAGAAGUGGGGAAUAUUGAACAAUGGGCGGAAAAAUGAUGCAGCAACGCCGCGUGCGGGAUGAAGGCCUUCGGGUUGUAAACCGCUUUCGCCUGUGACGAAGCGAGAGUGACGGUAAUGGGUAAAGAAGCACCGGAUAACUACGUG
rnacentral:rRNA from 1 species